rnacentral:misc_RNA from 1 species
AAGUCGUAACAAGGUUUCCGUAGGUGAACCUGCGGAAGGAUCAUUACCGAGUGCGGGCUGCCUCCGGGCGCCCAACCUCCCACCCGUGACUACCUAACACUGUUGCUUCGGCGGGGAGCCCUCUCGGGGGCGAGCCGCCGGGGACUACUGAACUUCAUGCCUGAGAGUGAUGCAGUCUGAGUCUGAAUAUAAAAUCAGUCAAAACUUUCAACAAUGGAUCUCUUGGUUCCGGCAUCGAUGAAGAACGCAGCGAACUGCGAUAAGUAAUGUGAAUUGCAGAAUUCAGUGAAUCAUCGAGUCUUUGAACGCACAUUGCGCCCCCUGGCAUUCCGGGGGGCAUGCCUGUCCGAGCGUCAUUGCUGCCCAUCAAGCCCGGCUUGUGUGUUGGGUCGUCGUCCCCCCCGGGGGACGGGCCCGAAAGGCAGCGGCGGCACCGUGUCCGGUCCUCGAGCGCAUGGGGCUUUGUCACCCGCUCGAUUAGGGCCGGCCGGGCGCCAGCCGACGUCUCCAACCAUUUUUUUCAGGUUGACCUCGGAUCAGGUAGGGAUACCCGCUGAACUUAAGCAUAUCAAUAAGCGGAGGAAAAGAAACCAACCGGGAUUGCCCCAGUAACGGCGAGUGAAGCGGCAAGAGCUCAAAUUUGAAAUCUGGCCCCUCCGGGGUCCGAGUUGUAAUUUGCA